rnacentral:rRNA from 1 species
AUUGAACGCUGGCGGCAGGCCUAACACAUGCAAGUCGAACGAGUGGCGGACGGGUGAGUAAUGUCUGGGAAACUGCCUGAUGGAGGGGGAUAACUACUGGAAACGGUAGCUAAUACCGCAUACCAUCGGAUGUGCCCCGAUGGGCUUAGCUAGUAGGUGGGGUAAAGGCUCACCUAGGCGACGAGCCCUAGCUGGUCUGAGAGGAUGACCGGCCACACUGGACCUGAGGCAGGUUCGAGGCCCCAACGGGAGGCAGCAGUGGGGAAUAUUGCACGAUGGGCGCAAGCCUGAGGGAGCCAGGCCGAGUGUAUGAAGAAGGGCUUCGGGUUGUAAAAUACUUGCAGCGGGGAGGCGUUACCUGCAGCAGAAGCACCGGGUAACGCCAUGCAAGCAGCCGCGGUAAUUC